AUUGAACGCUGGCGGCAGGCCUAACACAUGCAAGUCGAGCGAGCGGCGGACGGGUGAGUAAUGUAUGGGGACUGCCCGUUAGAGGGGGAUAACUACUGGAAACGGUAGCUAAUCCCGCAUACUAUCGGAUAACCCAUAUGGGAUUAGCUAGUGGGUGAGGUAAUGGCUCACCUAGGCGACGAUCCCUAGCUGGUCUGAGAGGAUGAUCAGCCACACUGGGACUGAGACACGGCCCAGACUCCUACGGAGGCAGCAGUGGGGAAUAUUGCACAAUGGGCGCAAGCCUGAUCCAGCAAUGCCGCGUGAAUGAAGAAGGUCUUAGGAUUGUAAAGCACUUUCAGUCGGGAGGCGUUACCUACAGAAGAAGCAACGGCUAACUCCGUGCCAGCAGCCGCGGUAAUUC
rnacentral:rRNA from 1 species